UAGCCUAGUGGUUAAGGCUAUGGAUCGCCAAUCCGGAGACGGCGGGUUCGAUUUCCGC
rnacentral:tRNA from 1 species